GGGCAGCUCACCCUUGAGGUGGAAGUGUCAGUGUGGUCUAAGCUCAAGCCUGCUGGAGGAGAUGUCAGAAGACCCAAAGCCGAGAUACUUGUAAAAGACAAGGCCAUAGUCAACAAGGGUGAGACUGUUCUGUUUCAUAUUUGCUACACAGAAGCCAAGGAGGGAUCAAACUCAGGACCUUGCACUUGUGAGGCAGCCGGCGGAACCACUGAGCUAAAUCCCCAGCCUUUUAAUGCAUUUCUAAAACCAGAUGUAUAUCUUUGUAUGUUUACCUGAUAUUUCUCUGCUUUUUUAACGUCACUGGUUUGUGUCAUCAGAGAUUGCAUUGCAAAUAAACUUGAAACUGCCUGAUGAACAGUAUGGUCUCAAGCACAUAAUCAGUCAUUUGGACAAAAAGUGCUCUUGUGCUAUCCCUUAAAGGGUCAUCUGAGGUUUGUGUGUCAUUUCGCCUAGCACUGCUUCCGGUUGGACAUGUCGAGGGUUGAGGUGUAAGGAUGUUUUCAUAUACUGUGUUUCCAUACCUUUGAACCAGUUUCAUUUAGCAAAGUAUUGUAUGUGGUGUUAACCAAUUAAAAAGACUUAAAAAUCA